AAUUCUCAACCGUCUCUUGAUUUAUUUCGAGGGAAUGGCUUGGAUUUUGGGAGUUGCCGGUGACCCACUAGGGUAGGUCGGCUCUCCUUAAAAGCAUUAGCGGAAGGUGACAAGCCAGAUGCAUGAACGGCCUUCGACGUGAUAAUGAUCGUCGUGGCUGGAGUGCUCAGGCAUGGAUCGUCUUUGCUUCUAAUCGAAUCACGACUUGGGUGGACUUUUUGCUUCUGGCGAAGGGAAAGCUCUGGUCGCGCUCUCUUUUGAA
rnacentral:misc_RNA from 1 species